GAUGAACGCUGGCGGCGUGCUUAACACAUGCAAGUCGAACGAUGAAGCCCAGCUUGCUGGGUGGAUUAGUGGCGAACGGGUGAGUAACACGUGAGUAACCUGCCCUUAACUCUGGGAUAAGCCUGGGAAACUGGGUCUAAUACCGGCUAGGAGCGUCCACCGCAUGGUGGGUGUUGGAAAGAUUUAUCGGUUUUGGAUGGACUCGCGGCCUAUCAGCUUGUUGGUGAGGUAAUGGCUCACGAAGGCGACGACGGGUAGCCGGCCUGAGAGGGUGACCGGCCACACGGGGACUGAGACACGGCCCAGACUCCUACGUGAGGCAGCAGUGGGGAAUAUUGCACAAUGGGCGCAAGCCUGGUGCAGCGGCGCCGCGUGAGGGAUGACGGCCUUCGGGUUGAAAACCUCUUUCAGUAUGGAAGAAGCGAAAGUGACGGUACCUGCAGAAGAAGCACCGGCUAACUACGUG
rnacentral:rRNA from 1 species